GACGAACGUUGGCGGCGUGCUUAAUACAUGCAAGUCAACUGAAGCAGUGGUAGCAAUAUCGCUGUGGAGGUGGCGCACGGGUGAGUAACACGUAGGUAAUCUGCCUUCAGGUCUGGCAUAACUCCGGGAAACCGGGGCUAGUAGCAGAUGAUGCAGCGGCUCGACAUCGAGACAGUUGUUAAAGCUAUGGCGCCUGAAGAUGAGCCUGCGUCUGAUUAGCUAGUUGGCGGGGUAACGGCCCACCAAGGCAACGAUCAGUAGCUGGUCUGAGAGGAUGAUCAGCCACACUGGAACUGAGACACGGUCCAGACUCCUACGGGAGGCAGCAGUAAGGAAUAUUGCUCAAUGGGAGAAAUCCUGAAGCAGCAACGCCGCGUGAGGGACGAAGGGCUUUUGCUUGUAAACCUCUGUAGUGAGAGAAAAAAAUCCCAAUCUUUGGGACAUGAUGGUAUCUCAAAAGUAAGCCCCGGCUAACUACGUG
rnacentral:rRNA from 1 species